rnacentral:misc_RNA from 1 species
GAACGCACAUUGCGCCCUCUGGUAUUCCGGGGGGCAUGCCUGUUCGAGCGUCAUUAUAACCACUCAAGCUCUCGCUUGGUAUUGGGGCUCGCGGUUCCGCGGCCCCUAAAAUCAGUGGCGGUGCCUGUCGGCUCUACGCGUAGUAAUACUCCUCGCGAUUGAGUCCGGUAGGUCUACUUGCCAGCAACCCCCAAUUUUUACAGGUUGACCUCGGAUCAGGUAGGGAUACCCGCUGAACUUAAG